AAAAUUGUAAAAAUUUGAAGUAUAUAAAUAUAAACUUAGAUAAAAAAAGAGACUGAAAAGAUAUUGAAAUGAUCUUUUGAAAGGAAAAACUACUGAUAAAGUCACUAAAUGAGGUAAAGCACAUAUAUAGGAAGAUAAAAUUAGACUUAGUAUCUGAAGAAGAAGAUUAGUUGAUGCCAAGCACUUACGUGGAUCUCAAAAAAUGCUCUAAGACAAGAAUCCAUGGCAAUAGACAAUCCUGACCCCGGAGUAUCUUCUGAGUUUAGAACUUUAUAGUAAACCACUUCCAAUGCAGACUUUUGGGAUAUCUCUCAGUUUCACACAGACCCCAGAGCACCCUUUCUGUGUUACAGAUGAAUAUAUAAAUGUAACCUUCGAGAAUAAGUGUGUAAGAAAAAGAAUCUCUCAUGAACUGUUAGAAGC